rnacentral:rRNA from 1 species
AUUGAACGCUGGCGGCAGGCCUAACACAUGCAAGUCGAGCGAGCGGCAGGCGGGUGUGUCAUGUCUGGGAAUUGCCCAGUCGAGGGGGAUAACAGUUGGAAACGACUGCUAAUACCGCAUCCGAUUUGAAUGCCCAGGUGGGAGUGGCUAGUUGGUGAGGUAAUGGCUAACCAAGGCGACGAUCCCUAGCUGGUCUUAGUGGAUGAUGGGCAACACUGGAACUGAGACACGGUCCAGACCCCUACGGGAGGCAGCAGUGGGGAAUAUUGCAAAUUGGGGGAAACCCUGAUGAACCAAUGCCGCGUGUGUGAAGAAGGCCUUCGGGUUGUAAAGCACUUUCAGCGAGGAGGCGUUACUCGCAGAAGAAGCACCGGCUAACUCCGUGCCAGCAGCCGCGGUAAUUC